rnacentral:tRNA from 1 species
GCCGAGGUGGCGGAAUUGGUAGACGCACUAGGUUCAGGUCCUAGCGGUCGCAAGACUGUAGGAGUUCGAGUCUCCUCCUCGGCACCA